rnacentral:rRNA from 1 species
GACGAACGCUGGCGGCGUGCUUAACACAUGCAAGUCGAACGGAAAGGCCCUGCUUUUGUGGGUUGCUCGAGUGGCGAACGGGUGAGUAACACGUGAGUAACCUGCCCUUGACUUUGGGAUAACUUCAGGAAACUGGGGCUAAUACCGGAUAGGAGCUCCUGCUGCAUGGUGGGGGUUGGAAAGUUUCGGCGGUUGGGGAUGGACUCGCGGCUUAUGAGCUUGUUGGUGGGGUAGUGGCUUACCAAGGCUUUGACGGGUAGCCGGCCUGAGAGGGUGAACGGCGACAUUGGGCCUGAGAUACGGACCAGACGCGUACGGGAGGCAGCAGUGGGGAAUAUUGCACAAUGGGCGGAAGCCUGAUGCAGCAACGCCGCGUGCGGGAUGACGGCCUUCGGGUUGUAAACCGAUUUCGACUGUGACGAAGCGUGAGUGACGGUAAUGGGUAAAGAAGCACCGGCUAACUACGUG